UUGACCUCGGAUCAGGUAGGGAUACCCGCUGAACUUAAGCAUAUCAAUAAGCGGAGGAAAAGAAACCAACAGGGAUUGCCUCAGUAACGGCGAGUGAAGCGGCAAAAGCUCAAAUUUUAAAGCUGACAUCUUCGGUGUCCGCGUUGUAAUUUUGUGAGGCAUCUCCGGGUAGGGCGCCGGCCUAAGUUCCUUGGAACAGGACGUCACAGAGGGUGAGAAUCCCGUGCUUGGCUGGCUGUCCCCGUCCAUGUGAGGUGUCUUCGACGAGUCGAGUUGUUUGGGAAUGCAGCUCAAAAUGGGUGGUAAAUUUCAUCUAAAGCUAAAUAUUGGUGGGAGACCGAUAGCGCACAAGUAGAGUGAUCGAAAGAUGAAAAGCACUUUGAAAAUAGAGUUAAAAAGUACGUGAAAUUGUUGAAAGGGAAGCGCUUGAGACCAGACUUCGGUAAGGGGUGAUCAGCCGUCCUUCUGGGCGGUGCACUUGCCCCCCUCCGGGCCAGCAUCGGUUGAGGCGGCGGGAUAAAGGUCCCGGGAAUGUGGCUCCUUCACGGGAGUGUUAUAGCCCGGGUGAAUGCCGCCAGCUUCGACCGAGGACCGCACCCGCAAGGGUUAGGAUGCUUGGCAUAAUGGUCUUCAGCGACCCGUCUU
rnacentral:rRNA from 8 species